rnacentral:rRNA from 1 species
GGCGGACGGGUGAGUAACGCGUGGGAAUCUACCCAUCUGCGGGGGACAACCAGGAGAAAUCCUGGCUAAUACCGCAUAAGCCCUACGGGGGAAAGCAGGGGAUCUUCGGACCUUGCGCUGAUGGAUGAGCCCGCGUCGGAUUAGCUAGUUGGUAGGGUAAAGGCCUACCAAGGCGACGAUCCGUAGCUGGUCUGAGAGGAUGAUCAGCCACACUGGGACUGAGACACGGCCCAG